rnacentral:rRNA from 1 species
CAGUCGCCGCGGUAAUACAGAGGGUGCGAGCGUUAAUCGGAUUUACUGGGCGUAAAGCGUGCGUAGGCGGCUUCUUAAGUCGGAUGUGAAAUCCCUGAGCUUAACUUAGGAAUUGCAUUCGAUACUGGGAAGCUAGAGUAUGGGAGAGGAUGGUAGAAUUCCAGGUGUAGCGGUGAAAUGCGUAGAGAUCUGGAGGAGUACCGAUGGCGAAGGCAGCCAUCUGGCCUAAUACUGACGCUGAGGUACGAAAGCAUGGGGAGCAAACAGGAUUAGAUACCCGUGUAGUCCCUGUCUCUUAUAC